GAGAGGUGUUCAGAACA
rnacentral:tRNA from 1 species